rnacentral:rRNA from 1 species
GUGAGGAAUAUUGGACAAUGGGCGCAAGCCUGAUCCAGCCAUGCCGCGUGCAGGAAGACGCAUCUAUGGUGUGUAAACUGCUUUUGUACGGGAAGAAACACUCCCUCGUGAGGGAGCUUGACGGUACCGUAAGAAUAAGGAUCGGCUAACUCCGUGCCAGCAGCCGCGGUAAUACGGAGGAUCCAAGCGUUAUCCGGAAUCAUUGGGUUUAAAGGGUCCGUAGGCGGUUUAAUAAGUCAGUGGUGAAAGCCCAUCGCUCAACGAUGGAACGGCCAUUGAUACUGUUAGACUCGAAUUACAAGGAAGUUACUAGAAUAUGUAGUGUAGCGGUGAAAUGCUUAGAUAUUACAUGGAAUACCAAUUGCGAAGGCAGGUUACUACUUGUGGAUUGACGCUGAUGGACGAAAGCGUGGGGAGCGAACAGGAUUAGAAACCCCAGUAGUCC